UACAGAGGGUGCGAGCGUUAAUCGGAAUUACUGGGCGUAAAGCGUGCGUAGACGGUUAUUUAAGUCGGAUGUGAAAGCCCCGGGCUCAACCUGGGAAUUGCAUUCGAGACUGAAUAGCUAGGGUACGGUAGAGGGAAGUGGAAUUUCCGGUGUAGCGGUGAAAUGCGUAGAUAUCGGAAGGAACACCAGUGGCGAAAGCGACUUCCUGGACCAGUACCGACGUUCAGGCACGAAAGCGUGGGGAGCAAACAGG
rnacentral:rRNA from 1 species